GAUGAACGCUGGCGGCGUGCCUAAUACAUGCAAGUCGAGCGAACAGAUGAGGAGCUUGCUCCUCUGACGUUAGCGGCGGACGGGUGAGUAACACGUGGAUAACCUACCUAUAAGACUGGGAUAACUUCGGGAAACCGGAGCUAAUACCGGAUAAUAUAUUGAACCGCAUGGUUCAAUAGUGAAAGACGGUUUUGCUGUCACUUAUAGAUGGAUCCGCGCCGCAUUAGCUAGUUGGUAAGGUAACGGCUUACCAAGGCAACGAUGCGUAGCCGACCUGAGAGGGUGAUCCGCCACACUGGAACUGAGACACGGUCCAGACUCCUACGGGAGGCAGCAGUAGGGAAUCUUCCGCAAUGGGCGAAAGCCUGACGGAGCAACGCCGCGUGAGUGAUGAAGGUCUUCGGAUCGUAAAACUCUGUUAUUAGGGAAGAACAAAUGUGUAAGUACCUAUGCACGUCUUGACGGUACCUAAUCAGAAAGCCACGGCUAACUACGUG
rnacentral:rRNA from 1 species